rnacentral:ncRNA from 1 species
AAUGUGAGCUAUUUCUUUUGGCCAAUCUGUGGAAGUGAACCUUCUGCUUUAAACCGUCAAAUUGCGGGGAGUCCUUAAAGCAAUUUUAACCAAGUAAAUAUAGUAAUAUGUUUAUGGCACAGGUAAUGACUCGUGGUAUGGUAAAAUCAAAAUUGAUGUAGUAAUUAAAUAGGUAAUCUGCAGCCAAGCUCCUAAUAACUUGGUAUUUGAUUUGUUACAGGGAAGCGCUAAUUUUUUUUUAUUUGGCGUUACGUUUUGUUGUAAAGUUGUUAGGAGUGCAGUUCAUCGACUAGAUGUCGGUUGGUGAGUAAGAAUAUUGUCUUACUUGCUUAAGAUAUAGUCAUUCCCUAAUGGAAACAUUAAA